CUCGGUGUCAUUAAAUUGCUUCACUUUGGUUCAAUUGUCUCAGUUAGGUUCAAUAUGGGGAAGACUGCAGACUUGACAACUGGGCAGAAGAGCAUCAUUGAUACCCUCCAUGGGAUGGGUAAGCCACAAAAGUUCAUAGCUAACGAGGCUGGCUGUUCACAGAGUGCUGUGUCCAAACAUAUCAAUGGAAAGUCUAGCAGAAGGGCAAAAUGUGGCAGGAGAAGAUGCACCAGCAGAAGAGAUGACCGUGGCCUUCAGCGGACUAUCAAACGGAGAAGAUUCAAGAAUCUGGCAGAAAGACUGUGUGGAGGCGCGAAGGCGGAAAACCGAUAAAGGCACUAGGAUCAGCACCUUCACGCAGGCUGACCUGGCAUCACGCAGCAUCCAGUUGCUCAGACUUUCUACAUCACUAUCAAGCCUGUGGACGACUCCCUGCCUCUUCUUCAGGUCCCUGGCAUGAGGGUGCAGGAGGGUGUGAGGAAGACCAUCACUGAGUUUGAGCUGAAAGCCACCGAUGCGGACACAGAGGUAACACACUGGCUACAUACGUUUUCUGCAAAUCUUUCACAGCCUUAAUUACAGUAUAUGCGUGACAUCAUGACAAGAAUCAGGUGUCACCUUCUGUGGCGGGAACUACAACAGAGACGCUUUGAGUACUUCAGAAGGUCUUAAAAUAAAACAAAACAAAAAACUUUUCAAAUGUGUAACUGAGGUCAAAAUACAGCAUUGAAGGACUGAUUUCUUCAGCAUGCACACUCAUACUUCUUUAAUUAAGGCGAAACUAAAGCAAAUGUUGGAUGUUAUCCAUCCUCUGCUGCAUAUAUUGUAGAGUUAAUAAUAUGUAUGAAGUAAUUUAAAUGAGCUUAUUUGCCUUUUUCCUUCUUUCGGCAUCAAAUUCUCUUUAUGAGCUGCACAAUAUAAACAGAUGUCAAGAGAUGUACUCUGAGACACUUCUUCAGCUGAGAAUCAGAGAGGAGAAACACACAGUUUUACUUGCAUGCAAGGGCAGCCACAGAGCACCUGCACCUGGAGUGAGGGCUCCGGGACUCGCACUCUGCCACUGCCCUGGUCUUUAUUUAUACACAAGAAGAGUGAUACAACAGUGAAUACGUUUGUUCAGUGGAAUGUUGAUGCGUGAGCAUGUGCGGAUAUGUGUGUGUGUGUGUGUGUGUGUGUGUGUGCGCGCGUGCCAGGAGAGGCUCCUCUACCUGGUACAAAGUGAAACUGCUUAUUAAGCUCUUAUCUAGCAGGUACUGCUCCUUCCCUGCAUGAUAACAGGUCACAGUGAAUCAAAACAGUCUGAGUUAUAAAGUGGUCAUCAUGCAGUAUUCUAUCAUAUGCAAACUUAUAUUAUUAAAAGAUUAUACUGACUACUAAGUACAAUUUUCUAUUGACAACAGAUCAUAUCUUUGAAGCUUGGUAUGAUUUGUGAAUAGAUAGAUAGAAUAGAAUAGUAUAGAAUUCAACUUUAUUGCCAUUGCACACACAAGGCAAGGCAACGAAAUGCAGUUUGCAUUCAUCCAGAAAGUGCUUUAGUGCUUUAGUAAUAAUAUAGCUAUAUUAUAGAUAUGAUACAAUGUACACAGUGUGAAGGUGUGUUAUGAAUAUACUAUAACUAUAAGCAUACAGGCUAUAACUGAAGUGAAUGUACAAGCUAUGUACAGGCUAUGAACAGCUUAGCUAUAGCAGCUAUAGCAGAUUAUACAUAUACAAUUGCGAGUAUUAAUAACAGUUGUAAAACUAUAAUUACUGUGUUGUACAGUAUGACUGUCUAUACAGCAUUUACAGUAGUGCAAUCGAGAUCAGUGAGAUACAUGGAUAAAUUAUACAGUAGUUAUAUAAAGUGCCAGUGGUUGUAAGUGGUGGUUCAGUCCAUGUUAUUAUUGUGUGUAUGAGGGUACAGUCAGCCAUUUGUUUGUUUUUGUCCAUUGUGUGUAUGUUCAGUUAUGGGGAAGAGUCCGUGUGCUGGGUGACUGGGGUCUUUGAUGAUUUUCCAGGCCUUUUCAGACACCGCUUCCUGUAGAUGUCUUGUAUGGCAGGAAGUGGUGCUCCGGCGAUGCGCUGGGCAUGCAACAACUAGAGUGCUGUGUCCAAGCAUAUCAAUGGAAAGUCUAGCAGAAGGGCAAAAUGUGGCAGGAGAAGAUGCACCAGCAGAAGAGAUGAUCGGACUAUCAAACGGAGAAGAUUCAAGAAUCUGGCAGAAAGACUGUGUGGCGGCGCGAAGGCGGAAAACCGAUAAAGGCACUAGGAUCAGCACCUUCACGCAGGCUGACCUGGCAUCACGCAGCAUCCAGUUGCUCAGACUUUCUACAUCACUAUCAAGCCUGUGGACGACUCCCUGCCUCUUCUUCAGGUCCCUGGCAUGAGGGUGCAGGAGGGUGUGAGGAAGACCAUCACUGAGUUUGAGCUGAAAGCCACCGAUGCGGACACAGAGGCAUCAAAUUCUCUUUAUGAGCUGCACAAUAUAAACAGAUGUCAAGAGAUGUACUCUGAGACACUUCUUCAGCUGAGAAUCAGAGAGGAGAAACACACAGUUUUACUUGCAUGCAAGGGCAGCCACAGAGCACCUGCACCUGGAGUGAGGGCUCCGGGACUCGCACUCUGCCACUGCCCUGGUCUUUAUUUAUACACAAGAAGAGUGAUACAACAGUGAAUACGUUUGUUCAGUGGAAUGUUGAUGCGUGAGCAUGUGCGGAUAUGUGUGUGUGUGUGUGUGUGUGUGUGUGUGUGUGUGCGUGUGCGUGUGUGUGUGUGUGUGUGUGCGUGUGU